rnacentral:rRNA from 1 species
AUGCACCUCGGUGGGCAGGUCGUCAUAACCACCUACAAGAUUGAAGACAAUGAGCAGUGGAGCCGCCACAUCCUAACCUCUCUAUCCAAGGUCGUUGUCGCACUCUAUGUGUUUUACAAGUCAUGGUCGUCAAAUGACAAAAGUUUGUUGGCUGCAACAAUUUUGCUUUUCGUCAUGGUGAUUAUCAGAUGCUUCCAGAAGGCCCUGGACCUUAAGAGCAGUAGCUUUAAUGCCCUACGGAAGGCCAGCUCGUCCGGGAUUAGCAUCAUUCAGGACACCUAUGUCACAGAAAAAAGCAGGCUUGACAAAUUUAUAAAAAAAGCAAGAAAGGUCGUGCACCGUGAUGGACCGCGGGGAUCAUCGGCAGACCUCCCAAGGCUACCAUACCAGCUAUUUUUGGACUUUCCAUGUCUCUAUUCUGAUCGUGUUGGAAUCCUGAAUUUCUGGUUGCUUGACCCAAAAUCAGCUUAUCAAGCAAUAGAAGGCGCACUGUCUGCUAUGACCAGUUUUCUCUACACCAAAGAUGAUACUGUCAAACCCUACCUUGGUUCCAAGGAAGCAUCAGCAACGGCCGUCUUCCGUCGGUGCACACAAGUACUAGCUUAUGCAACGGUAAUCGUAGCCAUCUGCCUGGUACAGACUAGUAGCCAGAAAAAAGAUUAUAACAGUGAAGAUACCUGGGUUACACUAGUGCUGUUGUGGGGCACUUUUGUGCUGGAGCUGGUUUACUUGGGCGUACAAACAGCUUUCCGGGACAGGUUCUCUGGCAGAGUUCUCCAACAUAGUCUUAUUGGAUUAUUAGCCCAUAACAGAAGGCACUCGAGGUUGAGGACGAUUGCGGGAUGGUUGCAAUGCAAGGACUUCCUCGACGAUUGUUGGCACAUGAAGCCUAUCUAUUCGUGCGAGGAGAUUACAGAACUGGCCCGUCAGCAUGUCGAGUCAUUGUGGAAGCACUGCAUCUUGGACAAGGAGACUUACAGGAGGCAUAAUGAUACCAGAGGCGAAUGGACGCUCACGAGUAAGCGAUGCCUAGGAGAACUGGGUUGGAGCAUACGGAGGCCAUUUGAUCGAGAGCAUUAUUCUCUGGCACCUGGCCACAGAUCUGUGCUUCCAGGCCAUAGAUUUAAUGUUUCAUGGUGA